rnacentral:rRNA from 1 species
UGGGGAAUAUUGGACAAUGGGCGCAAGCCUGAUCCAGCCAUGCCGCGUGAGUGACGAAGGUCUUCGGAUUGUAAAACUCUUUUGGCGGGGACGAUAAUGACGGUACCCGCAGAAUAAGCCCCGGCUAACUUCGUGCCAGCAGCCGCGGUAAUACGAAGGGGGCUAGCGUUGUUCGGAAUCACUGGGCGUAAAGCGCACGUAGGCGGAUGUGCCAGUCAGGGGUGAAAUCCCGGAGCUCAACUCCGGAACUGCCUCUGAUACAGCACAUCUUGAGUUCGAGAGAGGUGGGUGGAAUUCCUAGUGUAGAGGUGAAAUUCGUAGAUAUUAGGAAGAACACCGGUGGCGAAGGCGGCCCACUGGCUCGAUACUGACGCUGAGGUGCGAAAGCGUGGGGAGCAAACAGG